CGACCUCAGAUCAGACGAGAUUACCCGCUAAAUUUAAGCAUAUCAAUAAGCGGUGGAAAAGAAACGAAAACGAAUUCUCCAAGUAGCGGCGAGCGAAACGAGAAAAGUCCAUACACCGAAGUCGGCGAGCAGUUGUGUUCGUCAACAGUGUGGUGUUAAAGGUGUCGUUGCAUGUGCUGAAAUCAGUUCGUAGGCUCCCUUGAUUGGGGCUUCAGAGCGGGUGCAGGACCCAUAACGAACGAUGUUUUGUGCAUGGUGUCGCGGCUCCUAAUCGAGUCGGGUUGCUUGAGACUGCAGCCCAAAGCGGGUGGUAAAUCUCACCCAAGACUAAAUAUUCGUACGAGACCGAUAGCGAACAAGUACCGCGAGGGAAAGUUUGAAAAGAACUCUUGAAGAGAGAGUUCAACAAGGACGCGAAAUCGUUGGACAGGCAAACGGAAUGGAAGCUGAA
rnacentral:ncRNA from 1 species